rnacentral:tRNA from 1 species
GGAUGGUGGCUCAGAGGUAGAGUACUUGCCUGGCACGUGUGAGGCCCUGGGUUCAAUUCUCAGCACCA